rnacentral:tRNA from 6 species
GCACCUUUAGCUCAGCUGGAUAGAGCGCUGCCCUCCGAAGGCAGAGGCCAGAGGUUCGAAUCCUCUAAGGUGCGCCA